AGUUCACUGAAUAAAGCGUACCCAGCAGAUAUCACCCAUCAAAGUUUAGCAAGCAAAUAGAGCUGUGUCUGAAUCCCUCACUGGACUGCUGCUAUUUCCAUAGCGCAGGGAAACAGAUGUUUCCUGCAUCCCAAUGGAUCGCCGUGCCGCUCUGCGGGACUGUCACAGAGGUGACAAUAUUGUUGGCCUGGGGAGCCUCAGGCACACCCGAAGGGGAAGAGAAGUGCCUUUAAGAUUUCAUAGAGCCUUGCCUGUCCUCCAUCCCAAAACACCAGUCCCAGUACAAGAACACCCAGGAGAUCCUGAGGCCAUGAGCAGGCUUAGUAUUAAACUCCUUUGCUUUCUAGCCAGGACAUUCCAGCACCUCCAGAAAUCACCAGGAGCUGCAGAGCACAAAAAGGAAGAGCUAUUGCCGUCUUGCAGCUGGGGAACCAAGUAACGGUGAAGGGAUAGGCAGGAAGUGCACUGCAGUUUGCUCCAUGCCUGCCACUGCUGGUGACUGAGGGUUUCAAAUGACAAAGAUACAAACUGCCUAAUGCCAAGAAAACCUGCCAGCUGCAUGUGUGAAAGAGAAUAAAGAACCAUCUGCCAUGCAUCUCUGCCCCCCUUGGUGUGUGCUCUCCACGCCCAGCUAAA